GAUGUUUGGCGUGGUGCAGUGGUAAGAUCCUUGUCUCGGAACCGUCUGGUCCAAAGUUCGAAUCCUAGGCAAAAGGCAUUUUUUUUCCUACUUUUAUUUUUUUAUUUUAUUUCGUAUUAAUAAUUUUACAUAACCUUAAAAUGACCUCUGUCAAUUUUUAAUCAAAUAUUGAUCAGGAACUACAUAAUUUUCGACUACAGGGCGUCACACUACAGAGAACAGAACGACAGUCACAACGUCCCAAAAUACGACAGACUGAAAAUUUGCUGUUGUGUUUUUCAAGUGGGUGAGACGUCUAUACGGCGUAUACGCAGAUUGCUGUCCUCUCUAUUAAAAGCAACGUUGCUGAAACACGUCGUACAAGACGCUGUACGACUCGCAUAACAUCGAAAUACAACGCCGUCACCAUCCAUGAGAUCACCGAAAGCACGGUCGCUUUCGGUGGCGGCCUACAGAUGGCAGCACAGGUAGCGCCGGUAAAGUUACAGGUGAUAUUAUUUUGCCGUCCUCAGUUGUCGCCACAUGUGAGUGCUUGCUGCAUUGACGCCGUCCGAUGUAGUUGUUUAAUCGUGUGUACGCUGUGCCGAGAGAAAUUGUGGUGCAUUUUGUAUGCAUUGAGAAUCACAAAACCCCUGGGACCGCGUAAUGUAGCCCGCAGUAUCCUUCGUGUGGUGCGCCGAUGUCGAAGAUAUGACCCUUCGCGCUUCCUUUGUUCCGGGCUCAUGAACAGGAUCUCCUCCUCUGGCACUGUCGCAUCGUAUCGCGCUGUACGGGAGAAUUUGGUGAAAGUUGUGCUCUUACGUCCUGUAGUUGAUCCGCAAUUCAACAGUGUGUGCGCCGGAAGGACCGUUGGUGCAGUCGAUGCCGCGGCACCUGUGACGCUAAAAGGAGCGUUUUCCGAGUACGCCUAGAAAGGGAUGGCAAGAUUUUGUGAACCAGAGGCACCUCCACAUAUGCACCUGCGGCACUUCUGCAGCCUCAACAGCACACGGAAAAGUACCUGAUGUGCAUGCUGUGACAAGCUGCUGUAGGUAUGGCUGGACCUGGAGAAGAAGUGUAAGCAGACCAUGCUAUGUUGCUGAUCUGCGCUGAUCUCCACAUCCAAGUUGGUCCCGCGACAGUUGGGCACCAUUGUGCCUUGCUUCAUUGACAAGGUGAUAUAAUAUGGUGCCCUGCUCGCUCUCACCCAAGCAACCCACUCCAGCGGUCUUCUCUCGGCAGACUGGAUGCAUCGAAAUACCGUUAGAACGUCCAAUAAACAGUGCUUGGGACAUUUAUGACAUGCUUUUUUUUAAGCCGGAUGACUUCAGGCUUAAUGAAAGCUCAAGUUGGUGUACAGAAAUACCUACGUAAAGUAUACUUGUCUUUUUCACUUACAAGUACAUGCCAAUACUUUGCCUGACAUUUUUCACCCCAAAAUUAUGCUUUACUGUGGAUUUGUGAACAAACCAUUACAACAAAAAGCACUGCAUUAAAACGAGUACAAGUAAUCGAACAAAUACUAAAUCUGCAAGAAUUACAUUUGCAUACUAGUAGUAAAUAUGAAAAUGAGGUGCAGUCUUCUUCAGGGUGCAUUUUCUUGUAGGUCAUACAUAGAGAACGUACUCGUGGGUCAUACAAAACUUGUUCAUGAUGUAUCACAUCAGUGUUGGUAGUGCUAAUCAAUUUAUGCCGAAAAUUGUGUUUAUCUUCGUAUCAAGCAAUGUACCAGGCAAACCUACAUGUGAAAGUGGCAUUCUUGUUGCAAACAUAAUGCAGAUCUACUUCUCUUCAAUGCUGAUCGCAAAUACACAAAUGUACAAAAUAGGUUUAAGAGUAAAUUAUAUUAAGCAACAUCAAUCCAUUCUGAAAGGACCAGGUAUGAAUGCAGCAAAAUAUAGGUCUGAACAGGGGCAAACAGGUCUGGGUUAGAUAGGACGGGAUUAAACGGGUCAGGAUUAAACAGGAUUUAAACGGGUCAGGAUCAAACAGGAUUUAAACGGGUCAGGUUUAAACAGGAUAUAAACGGGUCAGGUUUAAACAGGAAUAAACAGGAUUUAAACAGGUCAGGACUGAACAGGAUCAAACGGGGUCCCGUUCCAUAACCCUAUUUGAUGAAACCCGUUUGAAAACAAAUAGGAUUUUCUA